AAAAUGCCGAGGUAAGGACUAGCCAUCCGCCUCGUAUCGAGUCUUGGAGGCAUUACGGUAACGUAGUGUUUUAAGCGUAGACAGAAAGUUAGCGAGGUAGAAUC
rfam:Desulfitibacter sp. BRH_c19 BRHa_1001072, whole genome shotgun sequence.